GAAACGCGAAAGGUAAUGCGAAUUGCAGAAUCAGUGAGUCAUCGAAUCUUUGAACGCACAUUGCGCCUCUCGGUAUUCCGGGAGGCACGCCUGUUCGAGCGCCAUUACAAACUCCAAGCGUGGCUUGAUGUUGGGCGAUGUCUUUUUGCUAGAGCGGAGACACGCCUGGAACGCGUUGGCGCCGCCGCCGAACCACGAGCGUAGCAAGACGAGAGUCAAUCGCAUCGAUUUGGAUUCCGACGGAGGUCCGCCAUGGGACUGCACUUUCGAGUGUAAGUCCACAACUUCUCAAGUUUGGCCUCGGAUCAGGCGGGGAUACCCGCUGAACUUAAGC
rnacentral:misc_RNA from 1 species